rnacentral:rRNA from 1 species
UCUAGGGAAGGCAGCAGUGGGGAAUCUUCCGCAAUGGGCGAAAGCCUGACGGAGCAACGCCGCGUGAGUGAAGACGGCCUUCGGGUUGUAAAGCUCUGUUAUAUGGGACGAAUGUAUCUAUGGCCAAUACCCAUAGAUAGUGACGGUACCGUAAGAGAAAGCCACGGCUAACUACGUGCCAGCAGCCGCGGUAAU